rnacentral:rRNA from 1 species
AUGCUCAAGGAGCUGCAAAUUCCUUUCGACAAGUCCAAAACUCAUCCUGCAGCGCUGACCACCAGUAAGUAUGGGCAAUCCAGCUGGGAGUCAUUCAAGACAGUGAUGUCGAGAGAGCUGUUGUUGAUGAAGCGCAACUCCUUCAUCUACAUCUUCAAGGUUACCCAGUUGCUCAUCCUUGGGCUCGUGGCCAUGACUGUGUUCCUCAGAACAAAGAUGCCAUAUGGGCAGAUUUCUGACAGCGCCAAAUUCUUUGGUGCUCUGACUUUCAGUUUAAUCACCGUCUUGUUCAAUGGGUUUGCUGAGCUACAGUUUACUAUUAAAAUGCUUCCUACGUUCUACAAACAGAGAGAUUUCUUGUUCUUUCCUCCAUGGACCUUUGGACUGGUAAACAUCAUCUCGAAAGUUCCCGUUUCUCUUGUGGAGUCCUCGGUAUGGGUCAUCCUCACAUACUACGUGAUGGGCUUUGCACCUGCUGCAGGAAGGUUCUUUCGUCACCUUUUAGCUUUCUUCCUUACUCACCAAAUGGCAAUGGGUUUAUUCCGAUUUCUUGGUGCUGUUUUGAAAUCAAUGGUUGUGGCCAAUACCUUGGGGAUGUUUGUGAUCCUUGUUAUUUUUAUAUUUGGAGGGUUUCCAAACAAUGAUACAUCUAUCGCUGCAAGAACAGUAGGCGAGGCUAUUCUUAAAUCCAGAGGAUUGUUUACUGGAGACUCGGGAUUUUGGGUUUCCAUCGGAGCCAUUGUAGGAUUCGCUAUUCUGUUCAACAUAUUGUACCUUCUGGCACUUACGUAUUUGAGCUUUGGCAGCAGCUCAAAUACAGUUUCAGACGAGGAGAAUGAGAAUGAGACAAACACUUCAAUGCCUAUAGAUGAAGCCACAAAUCGACCAACUCGGUCACAAAUCACCUUGCCUUUCCAGCCUCUUUCACUUUCUUUCAACCAUGUUAACUAUUACGUGGACAUGCCUGCAGAAAUGAGAGAGCAAGGAUUCGCCGAAAGUCGUCUCCAGUUGCUCUCCGAUAUCAGUGGUGCUUUUAGGCCAGGUGUUCUGACAGCAUUAGUUGGUGUGAGUGGAGCUGGGGAAACCAUUCUAAUGGAUGUCCUGGCAGGAAGGAAAACUAGUGGGUCUAUUGAAGGAAGUAUCACCCUCUCUGGUUACCCUAAAAAACAAGAAACUUUUGCCCGCAUCAGUGGCUAUUGUGAACAGACUGAUAUCCAUUCACCAAAUGUUACUGUCUAUGAAUCCAUUCUCUACUCUGCCUGGCUGCGUCUUUCCUCAGAUGUUGACGAAAAAACGAGAAAGAUAUUUGUGGAGGAAGUCAUGACUCUUGUAGAGCUUGAUGUGUUGCGUAAUGCUAUGGUUGGUCUUCCUGGAGUGGACGGGUUAUCCACUGAACAAAGAAAGAGACUGACAAUUGCCGUGGAGCUGGUAGCAAAUCCUUCAAUCAUAUUCAUGGAUGAGCCAACUUCUGGUCUUGAUGCUAGAGCCGCGGCGAUUGUAAUGUGGGCGGUGAAAAAUACAGUUAACACUGGCCGAACUGUGGUUUGCACAAUUCAUCAACCCAGCAUCGAUAUAUUCGACUCUUUUGAUGAGCUUCUGCUUAUGAAAAGAGGCGGACGGGUUAUUUAUGCUGGUGAACUUGGUCACUACUCUCAUAAAAUAGUUGAAUAUUUUGAGGCAAUUCCAGGUGUUGAAAAGAUCACAGAAGGAUAUAAUCCUGCAACAUGGAUGCUGGAAGUUAGCUCCCCUUCAGCCGAGGCUCGCCUGAACAUAAAUUUUGCUGACAUUUAUGCUGAUUCUGACCUUUAUAGGAAAAACCAAGAACUUAUUAAGGAAUUAAGCAUUCCCCCGCCAGGCUACGAGGAUCUCUCAUUUCCUACAAAGUAUUCUCAGAAUUUCUACAACCAAUGUGUUGCAAACUUCUGGAAGCAAUACAAAUCUUAUUGGAAGAAUCCAGCCCACAACGCCAUGCGCUUCCUUAUGACGUUGAUCUAUGCCCUUGUAUUUGGCACGGUUUUUUGGCAGAAGGGGACAAAAAUAAACUCGCAACAAGAUUUAUCCAAUCUACUUGGAGCCACUUAUGCUGCGGUCUUUUUCCUUGGGUCUGCCAACUGUAUCACAGUUCAGCCUGUUGUGGCAAUUGAGCGAACAGUUUUCUACCGUGAAAAGGCGGCAGGGAUGUACUCUCCAUUAUCCUAUGCAUUAGCUCAGACGUGCGUGGAGGUGAUGUACAACAUCGUGCAGGGGAUUGAAUACACGUUGAUCAUCUAUUCGAUGAUUGGAUAUGAGUGGAAAGCUGCAAAGUUCUUCUAUUUCCUCUUCUUCAUAAUUUCCUGCUUCAACUACUUCACAUUGUUUGGCAUGAUGCUGGUGGCGUUGAGCUCAUCUGCCAUGCUCGCAAACAUAAUCAUAGCCUUUGUACUCCCCCUUUGGAACCUUUUCUCUGGGUUCCUCGUUACGAGACCGUUAAUACCAAUUUGGUGGAGGUGA